rnacentral:rRNA from 1 species
UACGUAGGGGGCAAGCGUUGUCCGGAUUUAUUGGGCGUAAAGAGCGUGUAGGCGGCCACGCAGGUCCGCUGUGAAAACUGGAGGCUCAACCUCCAGCUGUCGACGGAAACCGUAUGGCUAGAGUCCGGAAGAGGAGAGUGGAAUUCCUGGUGUAGCGGUGAAAUGCAUUGAGAUCGGAAAGAACACCAACGGCGAAAGCACUCUGCUGGGCCGACACUGACACUGAGAGACGAAAGCUAGGGGAGCAAAUGGG